AGAUACCAUGAGAACAUAUGAGAUAUGGCAUGAGAUAGCCAUACCAGGUCGCCCCUGGAUAGUCCAGGUCGCUCCUGGUACUAUGAGUUAGACAGCCGGGCUGUCAGAUCAGAUAAGAGAAGUCUAGGUGAUGAUCUAGUCUCCUUGGCACAGUGGGACAUGUUAUGAUAUGAGAGAAAUAAGAGAAGUCCAGGUGAUGACCUAGUCUCCUUGGCACA
rnacentral:lncRNA from 1 species